rnacentral:rRNA from 1 species
GACGAACGCUGGCGGCGUGCCUAAUACAUGCAAGUAGAACGCUGAAGGAGGAGCUUGCUUCUCUGGAUGAGUUGCGAACGGGUGAGUAACGCGUAGGUAACCUGCCUGGUAGCGGGGGAUAACUAUUGGAAACGAUAGCUAAUACCGCAUAAUAGUAGAUGUUGCAUGACAUUUGCUUAAAAGGUGCAAUUGCAUCACUACCAGAUGGACCUGCGUUGUAUUAGCUAGUUGGUGGGGUAACGGCUCACCAAGGCGACGAUACAUAGCCGACCUGAGAGGGUGAUCGGCCACACUGGGACUGAGACACGGCCCAGACUCCUACGGGAGGCAGCAGUAGGGAAUCUUCGGCAAUGGACGGAAGUCUGACUGAGCAACGCCGCGUGAGUGAAGAAGGUUUUCGGAUCGUAAAGCCCUGUUGUAAGAGAAGAACGAGUGUGAGAGUGGAAAGUUCGCACUGUGACGGUAUCUUACCAGAAAGAGACGGCUAACUACGUG